AGNGAGAUGGCAGAGUGGUAAUGCGUUCCGCUGUAAACGGAGGGGGUUUUUACCUGUCGAGAGUUCGAAUCUCUCUCUUACUA
rnacentral:tRNA from 1 species